GUCCAAAGUGCCAAAUUAUAGAUAUAGAUGUCGAAGAAAUCAAAAUCAACUUAUGAGUUAUCGAAUUGAUUCUUUCAACAAUCUAUGAAGGUUUUUUCAGUGUUACUAUUUUUGGAUUAAUUGCCAAGCAAUGAAGCAGUGCGUUUAACUAUUAACAGAAGAACUCCUUCAGGGGCUGUUGAAUGCAAAGAAGUAAACAAUGACCAAGAUACAAAUGAUUUUGGCAGUGCACAUCCUGAUUCAAAUUGCCCAAAUGCUGCACACAGUGAAUUAUCGGUUAAAAAAAAAACUUUGGAAUUUCACCCGAUUCAAUUUAUUUGAUGAUUCAACUGAUUCAGAAUAAUUUAUUUAAAAGAAAUAUAUAAUUUUGUUUUA